rnacentral:rRNA from 1 species
UACGUAGGGGGCUAGCGUUGUCCGGAAUCAUUGGGCGUAAAGAGCGUGUAGGCGGCUCGGUAAGUCCGCUGUGAAAGUCCAGGGCUCAACCCUGGAAUGCCAGUGGAAACUGUCGAGCUAGAGUCCGGAAGAGGCGAGUGGAAUUCCUGGUGUAGCGGUGAAAUGCGCAGAUAUCAGGAGGAACACCAAUGGCGAAGGCAGCUCGCUGGGACGGUACUGACGCUGAGGCGCGAAAGCGUGGGGAGCGAACAGG